UGUCAAUCAACUGGUCAAUCGUGUUAAUUAGUUCAAACAAGCUGCUACAUCUGCUGAUCCCAAGUCUUGAUAUCCAUAUAUUCCAGAGGAACAUGGCUGCAGCCUUAAUAUAUGUGGGAUCACAACCACCAUCACCAUUUUUUUAAAUCGUGGCUGCACUCGGGUUUCCCUUUGGUUCAACUGGGCUUGAGCCACGACCGCCACAGCAAAGAACGAUAAUCAUGAUCCAAGACAAGUGCAGCAGCCUCAUAGUUCUCAUGAUCCAAGAAAUUUAUGGUUAAGAAAAAGAUCACCGGCUGUGGUCAUUGCGUAUUUGAUGAAGAGCAGAAGCUGGACUUUUGAUCAGAGUUACCAAUGGGUGAAAGAACGCAGACCGUCUGUUGACUUAAACAAAGUGCUUGUUAUCAGACGGUGGAGCGCCGUUUAGCUUGGGGUUCACAAACCAAACCAACGUUCAACCAGCCUUCCAAGAUUUCGUACCAUAACUAAUCGGAUCGUUUGGCAUGCCUGCAGCAACACCUGCUAGAAAGAUAGGCGCCUGGUACGCCUCUGUUUCCUUCACUACAAAUGGAAUCACAAAAAAUUGUCAGGGCCCAAACAGGAACAUCUAAAGUCCGCCCUACUGCACUAAAGUCUCGACUAUCAAAUUCCCAACCAGAGGCUAUAAACAGGAAUGGUAUGAUAUCUAGACAGCAAGUGCCAUCUUCCGGAUUAAAUACAUCAAGUAUCGGCAGGAAUGGUAUGAUAUCCAGACUAGCGAGCCAACGAUGGUUUAGACGUGUUCAGGCAAGAUUACGGCCACCAGAAAAUGGUUCGUGUUAGGGUUUUUCGAUGCCACACCUCAACAUC